UGCCAGCCGCCGCGGUAAUACGGAGGGGGCUAGCGUUGUUCGGAAUCACUGGGCGUAAAGCGCGCGUAGGCGGGUCAGUCAGUCAGGGGUGAAAUCCCGGGGCUCAACCUCGGAACUGCCUUUGAUACUGCUGACCUGGAGGUCGAGAGAGGUGAGUGGAAUUCCUAGUGUAGAGGUGAAAUUCGUAGAUAUUAGGAAGAACACCAGUGGCGAAGGCGGCUAACUGGCUCGGUACUGACGCUGAGAUGCGAAAGCGUGGGGAGCAAACAGGAUUAGAUA
rnacentral:rRNA from 1 species